GUGGGAGUAGCUGUCUUCUAGAUAUAUUUAGAACUUAUCUUGGGGGUGAACAGACCCUCUUUUCAACUUCGGGACGGGUAGACCCCGAUGAACUUGAUAGCGGUGUGUGGGUUUAUUUGCUGAGGGUAAUUAACCUCGGCAUUUCCUACUCCUUCUUUGGUUGGGAGAACCGGAGGGAUGAAUUAAAUCCUGCUUUAGUUAAGUUUUAUUAAUGAGGACCCUCUCAGUGGGAAAUUUUGCAAAAGAAAAGUUACCGCGGGGAUAACAGCAUGGUCCUUUCGGAGAGAAUAUAUUGCAGGGAGGGCUUAUGACCUCGAUUUUGGCUUAUUAGAUUCAGGGUGGUAUAAGAGCCUGCCUUG
rnacentral:rRNA from 2 species